UACGUAGGGUGCAAGCGUUAAUCGGAAUUACGGGGCGUAAAGCGUGCGCAGGCGGCUUGGCAAGCCAGAUGUGAAAUCCCCGGGCUUAACCUGGGAACUGCAUUUGUGACUGCAUGGCUGGAGUGCGGCAGAGGGGGAUGGAAUUCCGCGUGUAGCAGUGAAAUGCGUAGAUAUGCGGAGGAACACCGAUGGCGAAGGCAAUCCCCUGGGCCUGCACUGACGCUCAUGCACGAAAGCGUGGGGAGCAAACAGG
rnacentral:rRNA from 1 species